GACAUCACUUUUAUCAGUUAAUUUACCUGGACAGCUCCAAAAGCAUAUAUGAUUAGGUCUCACAAUUCAUCAAAGAAAAAAACUAAAUGCCAGAGAUAUUUAACUUGGAAUCCUCAAUCUUGCAGCAUCAAAGAGUAGAAAAAAUAUUCGUUAUAAAAACCAAUGUUCUCAGAAAGGAAAAAGGAUGGGCCUCCUUCUUUCUCUUCAAAUCAUAUGGAUGUGUUUAUAAAGGACUUAGGCCAGUCACCAUAUACUUCUCCUUGAAUUCAUUGUCAACAUUCUUAUAAACAGCAGAAUCAUAGCAAUACAUGCCUCAUUCAACAGCUCUCACUUGAUUCUUUAGGAAUAUUUUCUUAGUUUCAGUAGCAAAACAAGCCUAAAGGACAUGGUACUAAUUGAUUUUACAAGCUUUCUUGAUCCCACAGCAAAUUGGAUGGGCAUUCUCAAAGAAAUUUGAAUAUCAUUCGAACUGCAGAAACACAUGUUAGCUUCAUUAUAACCUCAAUGAUGAAUGAUGACAACAAAUUAAUGCUAUUCUAGGUCAAAGAAUUAAAUACAGACACAAGGAGUUGUAUUUGAGGAAUAGAAAAAUUAUCUGUAUUCUGUACAUUAUGAACUUAACUAAGCAAAGAGAUUAUGUAAAGAAAAAGAAAGCAAGAAUACUCAUUUUCAAUCCUUUAAAAGUAGGAAUUGCGGAAAAAGAUCAUGCCACAUAAACUUUUUAAACAUUUGGUACGUUUUGUGACAUCACGUGGACCACUGGAAUUCAUAAAAUGCCUUUCCCACAAACAUACUCCUAUGUCAAAAACAUCUAUAACAUAGAAGCAUUUCAAGUCCAAUUCUCAUGAUGGCGCCAGAACAAAGAUUUCUAUCAGGAGUGAUCUAUUUCAUGUGAUGGAACGACAAUAGCACAAGCAAUGAAACAGAAUAGAAGUUCUAACCUUCACAGCAUUAUAGACAAUUUUAACAUACCUUCCAAAAGGUACUCUGGGG
rnacentral:misc_RNA from 1 species